rnacentral:ncRNA from 2 species
CAGGCCCUGCCUUCGAUGAAGCCUUUAGUUCCACUAAAGGUAUGAGUAGUCGUCGGUGGGGCCGU